AAUGAACGCUGGCGGCAUGCCUAACACAUGCAAGUCGAACGAAGCCUUCGGGCUUAGUGGCGCACGGGUGCGUAACGCGUGGGAAUCUGCCCUUGGGUCCGGAAUAACAGUUAGAAAUGACUGCUAAUACCGAAUGAUGUCGUAAGACCAAAGAUUUAUCGCCCAGGGAUGAGCCCGCGUAGGAUUAGCUAGUUGGUGUGGUAAAGGCGCACCAAGGCGACGAUCCUUAGCUGGUCUGAGAGGAUGAUCAGCCACACUGGGACUGAGACACGGCCCAGACUCCUACGGGAGGCAGCAGUGGGGAAUAUUGGACAAUGGGCGAAAGCCUGAUCCAGCAAUGCCGCGUGAGUGAUGAAGGCCUUAGGGUUGUAAAGCUCUUUUACCCGGGAUGAUAAUGACAGUACCGGGAGAAUAAGCUCCGGCUAACUCCGUGCCAGCAGCCGCGGUAAU
rnacentral:rRNA from 1 species